UCUUCGUGGUUCUCCUCUGGACCCUCUCCAACAGCUCUCUGUCUUAACCUGCAGUGCUGUGGCUCACAUCACUUGACAGAGGCCCACCUGAGGACCGGUCCUGUGACUGCGCAGCACCCCUGCAAAGAAGAGCACCAGUGGAUGGAGCAAAGCUUAAGGAAGGAAAGACAUUUGCUGUCCAGGGUACACAGCUUUCACCUUCUGAACUGCUGGUUGCUAGAGGUUUUCUGUUGCCUCACAAUGGUGGAACGUUUAAGGAACGUUUGGAUGUUGUGUUGAGGGACAUGGGUUAGCAAGAACCAUUGGUGAUGAGUGAAUGGUUGGACUGGAUGAUCCUGUGGGUCUUUUCCAACCUUAGUGAUUCUAUGAUUCUAUGAUUCUAUGGUGCCAAGGGAUGCUAUAGCCCGGCCAAAGGUGACAACAGAAGGAUAUGUUCUCCUGUGGUGUCAAUCAUUAUUGUGGUGACACCACAAGGCAGAGUGGUAGCAGACUCAGGGGCAUGCUCAGGGAGUUCUGGACUUUUCCUUUCAGUGCUGCUCUGGUAAGAGUGUGCUAAGUUCUGACACCACGGUGCGGUGCUUCCAGUGCCACAGCCUCCCACCAGGAGAAGGGAGGACGAGAAGCCUCCUCUCUGCCUUUCUGAGUUGGUCAUGCGAGCUGUGCAGAUCAGUACAGACCAGGCACAUCAGCACGUCCUUGGUAUGGUCACCCCAUGAUAGAGGGACCACAUAUGCUCAUUCUAAAUCUUUGCUUGGGAAAAGCACCAAAUGUGUCCACACGUAGGUGCCCACCUGAAGCCAGAGACAGCUACAGAAGAAGCUGCUUUCUGCAUACAGCUGAGAUCAGAGGAAGCUGGGCCUCUCAGCUGCUGAGCAAAGAGCAGUUGCAUCAAUUGAAACUGCCUCCGGCUCACUGGAGUCAGCUCGCACACCCAGUGUGUCCUGGAGUUCAGGUGCUUUGGAGAAGAAAAGAGCACAGAUCUCCUCAUCUGCUAGGGUCAGUUCAGUGUUCCACCUCUGCCCCAGCAGGCUGCCAUUGCUCCCUGCCUCUCAUGCCAUCCUCCCCUGCUGUGCUUCCAGGCAGGCUUCCAGGCUCCAGCUGCAGAACACUGCCUUGAUUAGGUUUGAUUCACAAAGGCAUUUCACAACACUUGUUCACAACAAAAUAAAAGUCCUGGAUCUAAGCAUCAUAUUUAAGGACAGGAUUGAUCCUUGUGAAGCAAACUGCUGGUAAGUCACCAAAUUUUAAAUAGUACAUUUUCCUGCCAAAAUCCUUCGCUGAAGAAAAAGUUCAUAGAAGUUCAGCUAUUCAAUCCAUGACUUCCUGAAAGUGACAUCUUUUUGGCUUUUGUACCCUUUAAACAUAAGGCUCCUGUUCCAGUUUUAUUGAAUUAAGUCAGGUGUGCAGGAGGCUUCAGCCAUCUCCUCAGGCUUUGGGGAAAUGUGGUGAUAUAUUACCAGGGAUGCCACCAAGGAUGAGGAAGAUUUUGUACCUGCUACUGCUUUGCCCAGUCUCUUGACUGACAUACCUGCCAUGCACACUACGAACAAGAGCAAAAACUGUCCUCCAGCAGCAGGGUUUGGCUCUCAAUAGGCUGGCCUGGGAGGGAAGACCUCACAUGCCAUCUCUAUCAUACUGAAAAUUCUCCUUUUUCCCUCUAGCUGUUUUCCUGGCAUUUUCAGACAGGUGGAAAUGAGGUGGCUCCUUGCUGCCAGCUAGCAGAGGUCAGUGGUUGUAGCUGCCCUAAUAGUGUGGUUUGUCAUCCAAACUUCUCCGCAUCUCACAGCAUGCUGCCCACUUUAUCUGUCCAUGAGGCCAUACAUUGAAUUACUUAAAAAACACAAAAAGACAUAGCAACAGCCUGCACAAGGAGAAAGCCAGUGGUGACAUGCUGGUGUCCUGCCCCAGUACUAAGGCAGAGCUGGCUGUGUAGGAACAAAGACUGGGGCUGUCCUGGUACAGAGGUCAUUCACAGAUGCUGGGUUUGGCCCCAGCCCUUCUGGCAGCUUUGAGGGGACACAUUCAGUUUUCUCUCCAUGUGCCUGCCUUAAUGAUUCCUGAAAAUAAUCUCUACCAAAAACACUUCCCUCAAAAACAGCACAAAGUCCUCUCUCUGAAUCCAAACAACAAUAUGCCCAUUACAAACUUCCUGUUGUGCUGCAAUGAAGGUGCUCCUGAUGUAGAGUCAAGGGCACAAAAACGUGCUGAUGGAGAAAGGACUCUGCAACCAGACACUCUGCUCCCUCAGAGGAAGGAGGUGCUUUUGUUGUGCUGGAAAACUCUCAAAGGCAAAGCAAGAGUAGAGGAAAGUGAACAGGUGUGCUUUCCACUGGAUUGUGGACACCCUCACGUGAUGGAAAGUGUCAAUGAGGACCAACUAAUGGCUCCUCAGGAGAAGGCUAUGGCUGAAGACCUCUGAGGUGUAGGACAUUGGCUAGAAGCUCAACCCAGCUCCCAUCUACUCUCACCAUUGCCAAAGGCAGAGGUACAUUGCAUGGGGUCAGAUGCAGGCCCAGUGCAGUACCCUGCAACAUCAGACCUGAAAAAAAGGCUUGGACAUAGCAAAGUCAGCACUUUGAUUAUUACUUUACCUGGAAAAUUAAGUGAAGUUGAGACUAUCUUUCAAAAUGUUUCCACACUAGUGGAUCAGCUUCUUCCAAAGGGAAAAACUGCAUCUCAUGAAAAACAUUUGCCUGUUACACAUACUGAGUCCUCCCAAGGGACAAGGCAAGCUCGAGCAGGUGGGCAGAACAAACCCUGGCUUGGAGGUGCCCACUAAACAAGGAGAACAGAAAUCUGAGGUUGCCACAGGGCUGACUAAUGUCAGAGGGGAAGAACUUGUUGGAAAGCAUCAAAAUGAGACUUAAAAGGAGUACUGGUUCAUACAAACUAAGCAGCUUUGCUAGACUGAAAGAAUGAUGAAAUAGCCCUUUUCAUGUCCCUGCCUUCCCCUUUAUGCAUAUGUUGUAAAUAAUUAACUGGCUCUUUGUCUUCAGCCCUUGAUGAGUCCCCGAGUGUAAUAACAGGAGUAGCUGAUGGUAUCUCACUGUCCUCCUUUCAGACAACACUAAGUUCUGGCAUGCAAUCCCAUGCCAGCACAGACUAUCUUCUCCUUAUCCACCUGAUCAUGUUUCCCAUCCUCCUACUGUGCACGUACCCACCCUCCAGAGCUACCUCCAGUGGCUACACCAUGCAGACUGGCGUCCUUGCUCCUGCUGAGCUGUAAUUACAGAGGAGGUGGCCUCCAGCAACAGCCACCAGGCCUGGACAACUAUAGUAAAUAAUUGCACUCUGCUGGCCAGGUUCCCCAUGUUGUGCUUGUGGUCAUGAGUCAUGUGGGUGCACCUAGCUGGUUGAUGUCACCAGCAGGAGCUGGUCCUGCAAACCAACAGCUGACAGAGCAGACAAAAACAUCUGUCCUGAAGCUGUGCUCCAAGCUCCCACCAGAGACCAGGCAGUGUCAGGUUUUCAUGGUGGCUGGGCAGACUGUGGAUGUCAACACUGCUUCUCCCUGGGCAUCAUGAGCCCUUAUUUGGUAGAGAAAAGUGACUCCUGCUCUUUGUGGGAGAAAGCCAGGCUGCAGCUGGCUGAGGAGCCCCAUCUUGUCAUCUCCAGUGUGAUUCCUGAGGCCGAAUGCAUUUCAGUGAGGGAUGUCACCACCUUGCCACCAGGUGCCUUUCUUGAUGGCUGCAGCUCCUCACAGGAAGCAGAGGAGCAGUGCUGAGCUCUG